rnacentral:rRNA from 1 species
AUUGAACGCUGGCGGCAGGCCUAAUACAUGCAAGUCGAGCGGAUGAAGGGAGCUUGCUCCUGGAUUCAGCGGCGGACGGGUGAGUAAUGCCUAGGAAUCUGCCUGGUAGUGGGGGAUAACGUCCGGAAACGGGCGCUAAUACCGCAUACGUCCUGAGGGAGAAAGUGGGGGAUCUUCGGACCUCACGCUAUCAGAUGAGCCUAGGUCGGAUUAGCUAGUUGGUGGGGUAAAGGCCUACCAAGGCGACGAUCCGUAACUGGUCUGAGAGGAUGAUCAGUCACACUGGAACUGAGACACGGUCCAGACUCCUACGGGAGGCAGCAGUGGGGAAUAUUGGACAAUGGGCGAAAGCCUGAUCCAGCCAUGCCGCGUGUGUGAAGAAGGUCUUCGGAUUGUAAAGCACUUUAAGUUGGGAGGAAGGGCAGUAAGUUAAUACCUUGCUGUUUUGACGUUACCAACAGAAUAAGCACCGGCUAACUUCGCG